CUGCCGGUACAGUAGCCGGGUCGUCAUCACACCCGUACGGGGGAAAGCCGGUGCAAUUCCGGCGCUGACCCGCAACCGUGAGCCGUCAUCGGACGGUGAGCCGGACUGCCCCGAACGGCACGUUGAC
rnacentral:ncRNA from 1 species